rnacentral:rRNA from 1 species
GAUGAACGCUGGCGGCGUGCCUAACACAUGCAAGUCGAGCGAAGCGCCUAAAAUAGAUUUCUUCGGAAUGACGAUUGUUGUGACUGAGCGGCGGACGGGUGAGUAACGCGUGGGUAACCUGCCUCAUACAGGGGGAUAACAGUUAGAAAUGACUGAUAAUACCGCAUAAGACCCAAGCUUCGCAUGAAGCGGUGGUAAAAACUCCGGUGGUAUGAGAUGGACCCGCGUCUGAUUAGCUAGUUGGUAAGGUAACGGCUUACCAAGGCGACGAUCAGUAGCCGACCUGAGAGGGUGACCGGCCACAUUGGGACUGAGACACGGCCCAGACUCCUACGGGAGGCAGCAGUGGGGAAUAUUGCACAAUGGGGGAAACCCUGAUGCAGCGACGCCGCGUGAAGGAUGAAGUAUUUCGGUAUGUAAACUUCUAUCAGCAGGGAAGAAAGUGACGGUACCUGACGAAGAAGCCCCGGCUAACUACGUG